GGGACGAUAGCUCAGCCUGGAGACGCAGUCGGGCAAGAGAGCGCACGGCUGAAGACCGUGUUGUCGUGGGUUCAAAUCCCACUCGUCCCA
rnacentral:tRNA from 2 species